UCUCCCAGCAAUUACCAAGUGGGAGUAAUCAAGUAAUCACACAGUACGCAAGGCGCUGACAGCAACGGCGACUGUAGUCUAUAGUUACUUCAUACUAAGUAUACGUAGUACAAAAGAGAGCUUAAUUGACACAACGAACAUAAAAUAUAGCUUUAUCAAUGGCAAGCAGCAAGAUGGCGGCGGCCUUAAUGACAGCACAAAAAUGUGUGGGGAAACUUUUGUGUUGGAAAUUAAAUUAAUACGUCUUUACGUGUACAUAUUUUUUUUUUUAAAUUGAAAAGCAAACUUGGUAAUACAUAGUAAAUAAGUAAAAUAUCUACAAAUAUUGGAAGCUGCGUCAUCGAAAGUACACGGAACUGCAACUUUUUAAGAGAGUACUGCGCAUAAAGCGUUAAUUUUUAGGUACAUUGUAUGCUUUGAUAACAUGCAGAUGCACAUACAUAGCUAUGCACGCAGUAAAAUUAUAUACAUACAUAUGCGCAUAUGCAUACUUAUGGGUGAAAAGAGUAAAAUUCAACAUGCGCAAACAACAAAGAGCGAGCCAAUCAGCCAGCCAGACGGAAAGUUAGCCAGCGCCAAGUGCCAACAGUGCAUAACUUGCUUUGCACAAGUCAUAAGCGAACACUGUCGAAGAAUUUGGGUACAUACAGUUUAUAACAAAAAAUGAGUAAAGUGACAGUAUUUUUACAGUAUAGGGAAAAUAUUUUGGCUUUUUAGUACUUAUUAUAGAAGUUUUUUUAGAGGUAUUGAACGUUUAGUACCCAAAAAAUACCGAAAAAUUAAUUUACUGGUAAAAUAGAAACUUUUUGAGCUUGUAUCAAAUUUUCGUAAUUUAAGUAGAACUUUUUUCACGCAAAUUUAAUUUUUUUUCCUUACAAACGUCAAAUUGUUUUCAUAAAUAUUAUAUUAUAUGAGAAGACUGUCAAAAAAACCUUAUUUGAAGAAAUUUCUUCAAAAAGUGCUGCAUUAAUAUAAUUUUCCUUAAUAUAACCAGAGGUAACCAAAACUUUUGGCGGACACUGUGCGCUUACAUGUGUAAGGUGUUGUUGGCUCUCACUCAAAUGGUACUGCACAAAGGAAUUAACAUUUUUGCAUAUAUUCAACACUGUGGUUGCUUUACAUGUACAUAGAUAAGUAUGUAGUAUAAGGUAAUGCCACAGCGACAUGCUGCAUAAUUCAAUAAGAAUAGAUAUAGAGGAAGAAAACACAAAGCAAAUAAGCGAAGCAAAAAUACUAAAAACAUUCCAGCAUAUAUAAAUAAAAUACAUACAAACGGUAAGCAAAUAGUAGGAAGCAAAUUAAACUAAACAAAAAAAAAAUAUAAAAUGAGCAAAAUAAACAAAAGCUUUAAAAAACGGGAAGCAUAGGAGUAAAAAGGUGAAAAUGUUGUGAAAUAACAUUUCGCAAUGAGCAAGCAAAUUGUAUGGGAGAGCGCUGCUGAGCUGUCCAACACAAGUUGAUUAUAUCCAUUUUGUUUUCAUCGCUGACAGUCGGCUGUAGGAGCACUGGUGUGGUAUAAUGGGUCUGAAGGUUUCGGCCAUACAUAUAACAAUGCGAGAAUCAUGAGAGCGUAUCGAAUUGUCAGAACAUGCUCCCUUAAUUGCACAGCGACUUACGAAAUUGAGCGUGGUGAAUUUUAAAAUAACAGAUAAAUAAACAAAAUAAAAUGAUUUCACUCGCUGUGUGUGUUGGCUGUUGCACAACGGAGGUUUAAGGGCACCAGCGAACGAACGUUGCAACAAAAACAAUUUUUAUUAUACAUACAUAUGUAUGUAAGAAAAAGAAUGUAAGCGAGUACACCUCACUGCAUUUCGCGGAAUUCAUUACUCAUUGCACUCGCAGCACGCCAAAGCAAUUACAAUUAACGAACUUACAUAUAAGCUCUUACCAAUACAGCGCUGCAGCUAAAAGAGCAAUUUAAUAUUCCCAACAGCACGGCAUGACACGAAUGAAACCAACAAGAAAAGUAUGUUAAUUACAAUUGAGCAUAAAAGAAUUAAAUAAAAACGCCAAUGCGAGCGAGAGCGCGCCGAGUCGCAGAGAGAGAAGUGUAUGACGAAUUUAACAUCGAUACGGAAUCAUCAUUUAUUCCGCGUAUUGCACACCAACACCAAUACAAAAGCAGCGUACACAGUCGUGAUAAACGCCUGUAGGUGUGCUGGGUUGCGAUAGUGAGCUGUGUUUUUGUAUUUGUAGCGGUAGAAAACCUUCCCGAAUUAGUUUGGAGAAAUGUUGCCGAGUUGACAGUUCUUGGCCGGAUAAAAUCAAGCUCGAUUCCGGUUAAGUAGACACUACCGUUGCCAGAUCCUCUUCUGAGUUCAACUGGGGUAACUAUUAUGGAACCAUACGCCAAUAGAAAAGCAAAAAGAAGUUUUAUUUUUCAAAUUAUAUACGUGUUGUUGCUGUUAUUGUUGACCGGAUAAAAAAUCCGUGCCCGUUCAGGUUACUUAGACCCGUCUGCCGUGGAAACGUGAGGACUUGAUUACAUGUGUUUCAUAGCGGCUAUGUAGAACACAAAAUUGCAUAGAAAACUUAUGAAAGGGAGGACGAAGAUAGUCCAAUAAGCCCUAAUUGCUUUUAACCGCUUCAAAAGGAACUACCGAGAUAGAAAUCCUUUAUAAGUUUAGAUAAUUUGAAAUAUAAAUUUAGUACAUGGUAUACAUAUUCAAAGCACAAUUUUUAGUGAAAUGCGGAGAGAAUGCUAUAAAAAAGUUCAUCUAUUGUGAGCAAAAACAAACUCGGAGACUUUAGCACCACAAAAUAAUCAAUGACGUCACAACAGCAUGUUGAAAAAUACGUCAAAUAAAAUGGCGAAACUUUGACACGUAAAUAAAAAUGUACCUUUGGAAUAUGGUCUCGUUAAAUAUAAAAUAUAUAUUUUAUAACCAUAUUUUUUUUAAAUAUUUAGAAGCGAUAAUAUAAUAAAUUAUAUUGCUUGCAUUUUAUGAUUUAUGCUAUUAUGCCAUUUUAAUGAAUAAUUAAAUAUUUCCCACUUCAAAUUUAUGGUCAUACAUCAACAUUUAACAAACGUGUUAUAAUAUUAUAAAUUUAAACAAUUAGCAAGACGCCAUUUACAGUAUAUUAUUAAUAUAGAUAUUUGUAUACAUAUAUGUAUACCACAUAUACAUAUGUAUAUUUUACUAUAUAAACAUGUCGAUGUGUGUUGUGUACAAUUCUUUAUUACUUUUUCAUUAUUUAAAUUUAUGCGCUUCAAGUUAACGAACUUUAAAUUUUGAAAUGACAGAACGUAUAAACGACGACGACAACGCAAGGUUAUUGCUAAUCAUGAGAAAUACAAAACAAUAUUUAUAUGCACACACAUAAGUACAUACAUACAUACAUAUGUGCAAUAUGUAUGAACACAUGUUAUUUGCUCAUGUACGCAGCAAAUAAAAGUUUAAACGAUUGCAGAAUAUUUUUUUUGCGUUUUUAAGUUUAAAUUCUGCGUGUGCUGGCACAAUUCAGGUUGAAUGACAGUGCGUCUUAACAUUUUUUUCUCGUUUUGCAAUUUUACAUUUUAUUUACGAUGACUAGGCAGACGGUAAUACAAUACAAUAUUUCCUGCUGUAAAGUGUUGCCAUAUUUGAACCAACAAAUUGUUAAAUUCGUUUAAAUGUAUAAAACUAAAGUGCUGAAAAAAACUGUUUAAGAUUACUGAGUAGUUAUAGAAACUAUGCAGCAAUAUGCUAUAGGGUCUUCGACGUUCACUUUUGAGUAUUACAAGCUUCGUUAAAUAUUUGGCUAUAAAUACUAGACGGCAAUUUAAAAAGUAGCCACAAAAGUUACAAAAAAUCAUGAAAAUAAAAGGUUAAACAGCGGUGAAUUACAUAAAAUAAAUACAUAUAUUAUCUGAAGUAAAAAUAAAGCAGCUCACUUUCUACAGAAAAAUAACCGCAAACAAAUCUAAAAAAAAAGAAAUAUAUAAAAAAUAAACAAAACAAACUCUCCACCAAAGUCAGCUCGUCAAGGAAUCAAUCAUAGCAGCUGUUCUGGGAUUACUGCUACGUAAACUUGUAUGUACUUACGAAAAAAUACAAAAAAAAAAUACAGACAAACAAACUGGCAGCUCAAGAGUCAUACAACAAGCCAACAAGCACUUAAAUGAUUAUGUAGGAAUGUAAAGAGCAGAAAAAAUCCUACACAGCGAUAAAAAAUGUACAUAGAGCUGAAGGAACCAGCGCCAGAGCGGCCUUCACUGUUAUACUCGCAGUAGUAGUAGUCAUAUUCUGUGGUCAUUUUAAAGUCGUGGUGAGUUCGUGACGAAAAAAAGGCAAACAAGUUACUAACACAAUACAAUAAAAGCACGCUAAUAACAAUAAUACUCGAAAAAGCGAAAUAAAUUGCAGUAGGCAUACAAAUAACCAUAUAUUUGUACGAAUUUAUAUGGAUGUAUGUAUGUAUGUAAAGGAAAUAAAUAAGCAGUUGUUGAUGCCAACGUCGAACGAAUGAAUGCCCGAAUUAACAUGGCUGUGAGGAGACCUGCACGCGGCAGGGUGGCCAGAUUUGGCGAUUUUAGGGAUACCAUUACUUUUCGGUAAUAAGUUUGCAAAAAAAUUAAUGAAAGUUUUGAAGAACGUUUCUAUUCAGAGGGAGGAGAUCGGAACAAUUCCUCCCGGGAUUGAAGUUCUCAGGGUGACCCCGUAUUCUGCAACAACUUUUAGACCUUUUUCUACAAAAAUGUAUUCCAAUCAUUCUCCGGUCUUCUCUCUACGAUCUUGUAUUUUAGGCAAAUUGCUACUUCCCAUAAGAUGAUAUUUUAUAGAAAAUUUGUGAAAAAGAGUUCUGUUGAGAACUUAGGAAUCGGUGUCUAGAAGUGGAUCAGUUUAAGGCCACAUAAGCAUAAGUUCUUUAUCUGCCUAAAAACUAUAAGUGAACACAUAAAUUUUAAAAUAUUUCUUAAGAUAUGGCUACCCUGUCUGACAAAAAUACAAGCAGAUAGUUUUAAGAUUCUCUGAUACAAACUUUUCCCUAAAAAUAAAGCUCUGUAGAUGUAUAGCCACACUGUUUGUCUGCCAAAGCAGAUCCGCCAACGGAGAGCAGAUCGCUGCCGACGUAGCAGAGCACUACCAAAAUGUGUUAUCAAUACAUACGAAUAUGUACAGACACAUAACAAAAUAUUCAUUUAAACGCGCACAUAAGGCACACGCGAACUAAUAAAACUAGCAUGCAAUAAACCCAAAAAGAGGAAAUAACAUCAGAAGAAGCCAAAAGCAUAACAAAUAGUUGAUGGUGAAAAGCAGACAGUCGUCAGCGGACGGCUAUGACAACGACGCCAGCAGCGUUAGUGACGUCGUAAAAACGUUGAAACAAGGGCAAACGGGCGGAGAGCAUUACACCCAAGUAAAUUCAUACAUAGUAUGUAUGUAAGAACAUAACAGGGUCUAUUUAUUUAUGUGUAUAAAAAAGAGACUCGUGCAAAGGGCAUAACGAAAUUCGAGAAAAUUUUGGUAGAAAUAAAAACAACAAUAACAAUGGUGGUACCAAUUACUGACGAUUGUUUGUGGGUUCUUCAUGAAUUCGUAGAAUUCUAAAAAUCAAAACGAUCUACAAUGGACAAAGCAAAAUAAACGCUAAAUACAUACAAACAAAAGGUGUCGACAGCAAAUUAAUAAGGAAAAAACACCGGCAAUAAAAACACUUAAAUUACAAACAUUAGAAAUAAAAACAAAGAAAAAUAACAUAAGGCUCUACAGUUAAGAAAAAAACCAAUAAAAAUAUAUUGAAAACGAAAUGACAAACAUUAGUUAUGAGAACAAAGCCAAACAAAGAGCGAUAAAAGCAGAAAAGCGUCUCAUAUUUUUCAUCGUUUUGGUUUUGUAUUUUGCUCAGACUAUAAUUAAGUUUUAAUACUUGGAUCUAUACGGAUUUUGUAAAACAUGCCGUAUGGAACGACUUGGCACAUUUUACGUCGAGAUCUUAAAGCGUACAAAAUAUAUGUAGCUAGUGAACUGAAACCUCUCGACCUCGCUUCGUUCCUGAAAAGUUCCAAGAAGAUCCGACGUUUUCGAGCCAAAUUUUGUUUAACGAUGAAGCCCAUUUCUGGCUCAAUGCGUACGUAAACAAGAAAAAUUGUCGCAUUUGGGACAAAGAGCAACUUGAAAAGAUUCAAGAGCUGCCAUCUCAUCCAGAAAAAAGAAAGGUUUCGUGUGAUUUGUGGGCCGGUGGAAUCAUAGAUCCAUAUUUCUAAAAAAAAUGACACCGGUGAGAACGUAACUAUGAUAACCGACUAUUUGAUGCCUGAAAAUGAAGCUUGUGAUUUCGGUGACAUUUGGUUUCAACAAGACGGCUUCACUUUGGGCCGAUCGAUUGGCCACCAAAAUAGUGUUAUAACACACUGUUAGACUCCUUCCUGUGGGGAUUUGUAAAGUCUAAAGUAUAUGCGGAACCUCCUGCUUCGAAUCAGGCCUUGGAGCAAAACAUCACACGUGUCAUUCGCUAGUUACCAGUCGGAUGUUCGAACGAGUCAUUGAAAUUGGAUUCAAUGGAUAGACCAUCUGAGCCGUAGUCGCGGCCAACAUUCAUAAUCUUCAAAAAACAAAUACCAAAUAAUGCUCUUUCGAAUAAUAAUAAACAUUAUCCAUUAAAUUUGAA